rnacentral:lncRNA from 1 species
UUUCAAUAUUUUUUGGUUGUUAAAAGGCAUGACAUAGUGAUGAUAAUUUGUGAACCUUUCCAUAUGAUUCUUUACAGGAUUAAAAUAUCCUCCUACUCAUUCUGAAUGUCAUUGCCUAAAUAUUUAUUGUUCUAUAUAAGUUUUGAUUUUAUAUUUUUCCUAUAUUUAUGUGUUGGUGGCUAUGAUGAUAAUGAUAUUAUCAUUUUAUUGAGUUUUCAAUGAUUGUCUUUCAAGCACUUUUGAGCCACCGUCUUUCUUUCUUCAAGGUCUAGUUAAUUUUAUUUCAUUCAUUUCAAGCACUUUUUUUUCUUCUUCUUUUCACUCUCUCUCAAAAAAAAAAGUUUCGUAUUAUAAUUUUUUUUCUUCAUAAUUAUAGUUUAUUGAAUAGCCGAUGUAUUUUAUUAGGGGACAUUAUUAUUUGAAUACCAAAUAUUCGUAAUUAAAAAAAAAUUAUCUUGAUUUUUAUCUGUGAGUAAUUAUUUUUAUAUUAAGCUUAAGUGUAAGUGUUUAAUCUAGGUCAGUCGCUCCCUUUUCUGUUUUAAAGUUAAAUGAAGUACCAAUUUCUUUCUCGCAAUGGAUUCUUACCAUUACGAGUCAUAUAAGGAUCACAUCAUUUGGUUUUAAAACAAGAAAUGGCGCCGCUCUUGUGAGUUGUGAGGGGAUGACGGGAAUUUUAAGCAUUACCACAUAAAUAUUGUGGAAAUAAAGAACAAAAUGCAUUUGAUCAUGGACAAUGUGAUAUAAGCAGUGGAGUAAAGAGUUAGUAUUAUAUGCUUGAUAUUCAAAAUUCACAUGCACUUUUUUAUUUUUUGUAUUAUUGUCCAACUUUUGUUAAACCACUUUUUUUUUUUCUUUUCUUAUUUGAUGAAAACUAUAGAGAGGGAAAAACGAAGAGAGAGAAUAAAAACACAAUAUGUGAGUAUGAGAGAAUUUUUUUUUUUUUUUAAUUCAAUUGUAUUUACUAUGUAGUGUGCUUUUUUCUAACAAUCACGUGCUGCAAACCCAAACCCAUCUCCAAUGGGCUUUUCGUGUACAUUAAUAUUUGGGAAAUGGCAAUAAAGCUCGUGGUUGAUUCAAAAUGACAAAACUUGUGUUUGACUCCGGUCAUGUCAUGUUGAUAAUUAAUCAUGUGUAAAAGUUAAAAUCAAAUUCGGAUAGGAGGCAAGAGCUAAACAAAUGGAUACAAUUGAAAAAUAAAGGUUUUCAUUCAUCCAUGGAUAAGUUGCUAAUUAAGCUUGACAAAUAUUACCCUUUCCCUUUUCAUUUUUAUAUUUUUUAUCGGUGGAAGUGUAAUUCCUUUUUCCUGUAGCAACCAUCCAUCCACUCAAGUCCUGUUUCCAUACGUCCAAGAGAUGAAUAUAAAUAAUGUUGGUUUUAAUCAUCUAGGUAAUCAAGUGAGAAAGUGGGAUCACUUUUUCCUGAUGUCUACAACUCUUCAAACACAAUGUGGUCAUUUGUAUUCAUUUGAUUAAGAUUGGAUGGUCUAUUUCUAAGCGCAAUACAAGAUUAUUAAUAACCUGAGCGAAUUCAAUUUCAAUUAACAGUUGCAUGAGAAUUUUUCAUCCUUAAUUUGAUUGCAAAUGACAAUCGUGAGGCUCAUACAAGAUUCAAAAUUCACAAACAAUAUAUUGUUCCAAAAAAAAAAACAUCGUUAAUAUGGAUUAGUGUUUUCUAUUUCGUCUAUUUCUGAAUACUUGUCGUUUUUGAAAAAUAAUUUUUGUUUCAAAUUAUUUAAUGCUUUCAAGUUUCAGUGCAAUAUUGAUUAUUG